UUUAUGGAGAGUUUGAUCCUGGCUCAGGAUGAACGCUGGCGGCGUGCCUAAUACAUGCAAGUCGAGCGGACGGACGAGAAGCUUGCUUCUCUGAUGUUAGCGGCGGACGGGUGAGUAACACGUGGAUAACCUACCUAUAAGACUGGGAUAACUUCGGGAAACCGGAGCUAAUACCGGAUAAUAUUUUGAACCGCAUGGUUCAAAAGUGAAAGACGGUCUUGCUGUCACUUAUAGAUGGAUCCGCGCUGCAUUAGCUAGUUGGUAAGGUAACGGCUUACCAAGGCAACGAUGCAUAGCCGACCUGAGAGGGUGAUCGGCCACACUGGAACUGAGACACGGUCCAGACUCCUACGGGAGGCAGCAGUAGGGAAUCUUCCGCAAUGGGCGAAAGCCUGACGGAGCAACGCCGCGUGAGUGAUGAAGGUCUUCGGAUCGUAAAACUCUGUUAUUAGGGAAGAACAUAUGUGUAAGUAACUGUGCACAUCUUGACGGUACCUAAUCAGAAAGCCACGGCUAACUACGUGCCAGCAGCCGCGGUAAUACGUAGGUGGCAAGCGUUAUCCGGAAUUAUUGGGCGUAAAGCGCGCGUAGGCGGUUUUUUAAGUCUGAUGUGAAAGCCCACGGCUCAACCGUGGAGGGUCAUUGGAAACUGGAAAACUUGAGUGCAGAAGAGGAAAGUGGAAUUCCAUGUGUAGCGGUGAAAUGCGCAGAGAUAUGGAGGAACACCAGUGGCGAAGGCGACUUUCUGGUCUGUAACUGACGCUGAUGUGCGAAAGCGUGGGGAUCAAACAGGAUUAGAUACCCUGGUAGUCCACGCCGUAAACGAUGAGUGCUAAGUGUUAGGGGGUUUCCGCCCCUUAGUGCUGCAGCUAACGCAUUAAGCACUCCGCCUGGGGAGUACGACCGCAAGGUUGAAACUCAAAGGAAUUGACGGGGACCCGCACAAGCGGUGGAGCAUGUGGUUUAAUUCGAAGCAACGCGAAGAACCUUACCAAAUCUUGACAUCCUU
rnacentral:rRNA from 1 species